UCUUCACUAGUAUAUCGGUUAGUAUAUCCGCCUGUCAGCGAAUGGGAUUAAAAACCAAACGAAUACCGCGGGUGAGCUGGGUUCGACUCCCAGGUGGAGAG